CUGGCCCUGAAUCAAGGCCGGCAGUUUUCUGAAGCUGUUGGUUUCAAGCAGGAGCCUAAAGAGAUGUCUUUCUAUGGUCUGUUGGCCAUUUCAGAACUUGGCAAAUGGAACGAUCAAUUCAUUAGAAAGAAACAGUA
rnacentral:snoRNA from 1 species